CGCCAUCUGAAGGAAAGAUCACGCAUCAUUCCGCUAGAACAAAAUCAACAUGGCUACCUGUCAAUACAAUUUGAAUGCAAAUGCAGACUAUAUGCAGUUUAUCACCAAUUCAAGAUGAAAAUAGUUCAAUUGGAUGACUUGCUGUGCGAUACUGUUCUGCCAUAACCUAACAAAGAUAAUAUUUUAAAUAAAAUCCGAAAAUACAGAUGACUUCCAAAUGUUUUCUUUAUUCAAGUUAUUACUACAAAUACUAAUAAGUAUGCAGCUCUACAUUUUUAAUUCUAAACUAAGAAAAUUAUGCACAGGAGAAGAAGUGUCCAUUACACCAUGGGAUCAAUGGAGAUAUAUUUAAUUUUCUUAUGGUUAACGAUUAGAAGAUUUGCAUUGAUUGUGUCAUCCUAACAAGAGUUUUAUUCUAUAAUAUUAUGUAAAUAGAAUGCAGUUACAGUGACAAUGAAUAAUCAAGACAAGAAUCUGUCAAAAGGUGAGUUCAAUAAUUUGACUGGAAGUGUCUACUCAUUACUAUCAAGAAUGAUAAGAAGAAUCCCACAAUACUGCAACCAUCAAAGAUUUUUGAAGAUACUGCCUUCAUUAUAUUUACAAUUGGAAAAAACCAYACUCAGUUCUAUUCUAUCAAUAGAAUUGCAGAAGAAAUGCAUCCUAGUUAUCACAAAUUAAGAAAACAAAUGGCAAAUACAUUAUAGUAGGAAAUUGUAUUCUUGAACAAAAUAUUUGACCAAGUUUUGUACAUGGUAAUGGAAGAUAUUAAUUUUUCAUUGACUGACAAGAMAAAUUGAUGUAUUUKUUAAUUAAUAUCUUCUUUGUAGAGAUUCCAUGUGAAUUAUUAUGCAAAUAGAAUACAGCUGCAGUGUCAUGAAAUAAUCAAAAUCAUAAAUUGUAAAAAGAGAUUUUCAAUUCUUUGACUGAAAGAGACUAUGCAUUACUAUCAACAACGAUAAGAAGAAUGCAACAAUACUUCAACCAUGAAAGAUUUUGGAUGACACUGCAUUCAUUAUAUUUACAUUGUAAAGAAACCAUAAGCAGUUCUAUUCUACAAAUAGAAUCGAAGAUAGAAUGCAUCCUUGUUAUUACAAAUAAGAAAUUCAUUCUAAUCUGUAAUUUUCAACAUGUACUAAAUUUAUCAAUGUACUUUUUAUUGAGAACUUGAAAACAUUACUAGGAAUUGACUGACACCAAAAAAUUGUAUAUAUUUAUAGAAAGUAAUGUAAUAAUCUCUAGAAAGAGAUUCCAUAUGAAUUAUUUUGCAAAUAAAAUGCAGCUGCAGUGUCAAGUGUCAA